GAAUGGCAUCCCGGUGAUGUUAUACAGUGGAGACGUGGACAGUAGUGUUCCAGUGACAGGUACAAGAAAGGCGAUAAAAAAACUUAACCUGGAUAUUCAAACUCACUGGUACCCAUGGUUCAACGAGCACGAGUUUGGAGGGUAUAGUGUGAUAUACAAGGGUGGCUUAACAUUUGCAAUUGUUAGAGGAGCGGGCCAUGAGGUCCCUAGUUACCAACCGGCGAG